AACCCAUGAUGAGGGCAUAUUCUCAACAGAUCGUUAAAUCUCUUUCAUGCAUCAUAUAAUGUCACCAAAUCAAUUUGAGCAAAAGAAGAGAUAUCAUUCCUCAACUU
rfam:Gossypium hirsutum cultivar TM-1 chromosome 8, whole genome shotgun sequence